rnacentral:snoRNA from 1 species
UGCAUUCAAAGAACAGUGUGACAGAAAUUCACUACCUGGCACUGUUGGUUUUCUUAGCUUUGGUGCCUGGUAAGCCUGGUAUUUCUAUUGAUACAGUU